UAGCGAAGGGGGCUAGCGUUGCUCGGAUUUACUGGGGCGUAAAGGGCGCGUAGGCGGCGCAACAAGUCACUUGUGAAAUCUCCGGGCUUAACCCGGAGCGGUCAAGUGAUACUGUCGUGCUAGAGUGCGGAAGGGGGCUACUGGAAUUCUCGGUGUAGCGGUGAAAUGCGUAGAUAUCGAGAGGGAAACACCUGCGGCGAAGGCGGGGUAGCUGGGCCGACACUGACGUGAUGCGCGAAAAGCGUGGGGGAGCAAAACAGG
rnacentral:rRNA from 1 species